rnacentral:rRNA from 1 species
GACGGAGGAUGCAAGCGUUAUCCGGAAUGAUUGGGCGUAAAGCGUCCGCAGGUGGCAGUUCAAGUCUGCUGUCAAAGACCGGGGCUUAACUUCGGAAAGGCAGUGGAAACUGAACAGCUAGAGUAUGGUAGGGGCAGAGGGAAUUCCUGGUGUAGCGGUGAAAUGCGUAGAUAUCAGGAAGAACAUCGGUGGCGAAGGCGCUCUGCUGGACCGCAACUGACACUCAGGGACGAAAGCUAGGGGAGCGAAUGGG